rnacentral:snRNA from 1 species
UGAAAUGGGUGCAUAAGAAUGUUG